UCUUGCAUUCUCCUGGAACCAGCUGCUUCUCUACGUGAUGCAUCCUGCUGCCGCCUUCUAAAGCUAGACAUCUGUUUCUCUUUGUCUUUCAGAAUAGAGCCACCUCUUGGCGUGUUUGAUUGUUUUUUACUAGUAUUGGAAUAGAAAUGCUCAACCUCAUUCAGUCUCUGCUCAAUCUGAUCAACCUUCCCAACCAUUUCAUCAACACUUCGACCGAAAUUUUCAGAAGCAGUAGCAUUGUCUUUCUGCUCUUGUAUAGGGAUGUCAGGAACUAAGCCGUUUAGAUUCUCCAUAGCUCGAAUUUCGCCGUUCGCCGGAGUAGAUCGGAG
rnacentral:misc_RNA from 1 species